rnacentral:rRNA from 1 species
GGAGGGGGGGCUAUCUGCAGUCGACGCUUCUUUCCUCCCGAGUGCUUGCACUCAAUUGGAAAGAGGAGUGGCGGACGGGUGAGUAACACGUGGGUAACCUACCCAUCAGAGGGGGAUAACACUUGGAAACAGGUGCUAAUACCGCAUAACAGUUUAUGCCGCAUGGCAUAAGAGUGAAAGGCGCUUUCGGGUGUCGCUGAUGGAUGGACCCGCGGUGCAUUAGCUAGUUGGUGAGGUAACGGCUCACCAAGGCCACGAUGCAUAGCCGACCUGAGAGGGUGAUCGGCCACACUGGGACUGAGACACGGCCCAGACUCCUACGGGAGGCAGCAGUAGGGAAUCUUCGGCAAUGGACGAAAGUCUGACCGAGCAACGCCGCGUGAGUGAAGAAGGUUUUCGGAUCGUAAAACUCUGUUGUUAGAGAAGAACAAGGACGUUAGUAACUGAACGUCCCCUGACGGUAUCUAACCAGAAAGCCACGGCUAACUACGUGCCAGCAGCCGCGGUAAUACGUAGGUGGCAAGCGUUGUCCGGAUUUAUUGGGCGUAAAGCGAGCGCAGGCGGUUUCUUAAGUCUGAUGUGAAAGCCCCCGGCUCAACCGGGGAGGGUCAUUGGAAACUGGGAGACUUGAGUGCAGAAGAGGAGAGUGGAAUUCCAUGUGUAGCGGUGAAAUGCGUAGAUAUAUGGAGGAACACCAGUGGCGAAGGCGGCUCUCUGGUCUGUAACUGACGCUGAGGCUCGAAAGCGUGGGGAGCAAACAGGAUUAGAUACCCUGGUAGUCCACGCCGUAAACGAUGAGUGCUAAGUGUUGGAGGGUUUCCGCCCUUCAGUGCUGCAGCAAACGCAUUAAGCACUCCGCCUGGGGAGUACGACCGCAAGGUUGAAACUCAAAGGAAUUGACGGGGGCCCGCACAAGCGGUGGAGCAUGUGGUUUAAUUCGAAGCAACGCGAAGAACCUUACCAGGUCUUGACAUCCUUUGACCACUCUAGAGAUAGAGCUUUCCCUUCGGGGACAAAGUGACAGGUGUGCAUGCUUGUCGUCAGCUCGUGUCGUGAGAUGUUGGGUUAAGUCCCCGCAACGAGCGCAACCCUUAUUGCUAGUUGCCAUCAUUUAGCUGGGCACUCUAGCGAGACUGCCGUGACUGAUCGAGAAGGUGGGAUGACGUCAAAUCAUCAUGCCCCCCAUA